CAGUAUCCCUUCCACUAAGACUUUGUUUUCUUGCUCUGUCAUUUUAGAAAUAAAUUUGUUGAGUUUGACAUGAAGCCUGUCUGCAAAAAGUGCUAUGAGAAGUUUCCUCUAGAGCUGAAGAAGAGACUGAAGAAAUUAGCUGAAACCGUGGGAAGGAAGUGAAGACUUGGUCUGCUCUCCCCUUUCCUUAUGAAAAUGAAAAAUGACAAAUGAAAAUUUCCCUUAUGAAAAACUCAAUCUGUCACUUGGGAGGGACUCUGAGGCUGUAAUCAGACUACAGAUUACGAUGCAGGCCUUUCGUCUUGACAUUCUCCAUUCUCUCUGAUGCAAGAAGGAUUUUCUUUCGAGCGCGAAUGCCUGAGGUUAAAGUUUAGCUUCUAGGCUUCCCUGACUUCUGGAACAGCAGUGAAAAUGCGUAUUUGAGUUAACUGGCAACGUUACUUUUGCACUGCGAGUGUAAAUGUGUGAGGUUUGAUCCUCCCAGGAUCUAUUUCUUCAGCCAUCUUCAAGAACUGUGCUCACAAAUGGUCAGAAUUCACUGUAGUAUGCUUGGGAUCGUUGUGUCCUAUUGACGUCUGUCCAUGAAAAUUUGUUUUUCCCUUUUCUGUCAGAAAUACCGCUACUUAGGAAUUCUUGAUGGUACUGUGUUACCAAGCGUGCAAACCUUUUUUUUUUUUCCCAUAUUAGAGACACAGUUUUUAUGUAAUUACAUCGUAGCAAGCAAAAAACAGCUUUCCAGUGCCAUUAAUAAAGGCUACGUUAUUAAAUCCUGCUUCACCUCUCUUACGCGACCGCUUGAGAUGGGUGGCAAAGCAUCUCGGCAGCCUUCCUUCGCUCUGCUUCUACCUGUGGCUGUAUGUAAAACUCGUUUACUGUCCUGACUUAGGACAGGCAUAUGUCUCCUCUAAGCAUGCACUUUAGAUUUUAGGUUUAAAAAAUA
ensembl:lncRNA